rnacentral:rRNA from 1 species
CACCGCGGUUAUACGGGUUAGCCCAAGUUGACAGCCAGCGGCGUAAAGCGUGGUUAAGGAAAUAAGAACACUAAAGCCGAAUUAUCCUUCAGCUGUUAUACGCUCACAGGAAAAAGAAGCCCAACUACGAAAGUGACUUUAUUUGUCCCCUGAAUCCACGAAAGUUUUGAUA